CUACGGGGCGCUGCAGUGGGGAAUAUUGCACAAUGGGGGAAACUCUGAUGCAGCAACGCCGCGUGGAGGAUGACGCUUUUCGGAGCGUAAACUCCUUUUAUAUAGGAAGAAGAUGACGGUACCAUAUGAAUAAGCACCGGCUAACUCCGUGCCAGCAGCCGCGGUAAUACGGAGGGCGCAAGCGUUACUCGGAAUCACUGGGCGUAAAGAGCGUGUAGGCGGAUUAAAAAGUCAGAAGUGAAAUCCUAUAGCUUAACUAUAGAACUGCUUCUGAAACUUUUAAUCUAGAAUAUGGGAGGGUAGAUGGAAUUUCUGGUGUAGGGGUAACAUCCGUAGAGAUCAGAAGGAAUACCGAUUGCGAAGGCGAUCUACUAGAACAUUACUGACGCUGAGACGCGAAAGCGUGGGGAGCAAACAGGAUUAGAUACCCUAGUAGUC
rnacentral:rRNA from 1 species